GCGGUGCUGGGCGACGGCGGCUACGCCGAGCUGGCCGGCGCGGCGGACUACGGGACGCUGAACGCCCUGUUCACGCCAGGUGUGCCGGG
rnacentral:tRNA from 1 species